AGGUGAACAAGGUGCCUCCAGC
rnacentral:piRNA from 1 species